rnacentral:rRNA from 1 species
CCUACGGGCGGCAGCAGUGAGGAAUAUUGGUCAAUGGACGCAAGUCUGAACCAGCCAUGCCGCGUGCAGGAAGACGGCUCUAUGAGUUGUAAACUGCUUUUGUACGAGGGUAAACGCAGAUACGCGUAGCUGUCUGAAAGUAUCGUACGAAUAAGGAUCGGCUAACUCCGUGCCAGCAGCCGCGGUAAUACGGAGGAUUCAAGCGUUAUCCGGAUUUAUUGGGUUUAAAGGGUGCGUAGGCGGGCGGAUAAGUUAGAGGUGCAAUCCCGAGGCUCAACUUCGGAAUUGCCUCUGUUACGGUUCGGCUAGAGAGUAGUUGCGGUAGGCUGAAUGUCUGGUGUAGCGGU